AUCGAUUGUUAGAAUGUUUGCAAGCUUAUGGUAGAAUAGCUAUGUUUGUGUUGAUUGAGUGAAUAUACCAAUUUAAACAGGAGAAAAUGUGAGGGAGUGAAGUGAUUAUGGUUUGGUCAAUAUUUGUGAAAAGUUCUUGAUUUUUCAGUAUUAAUCUGUGUGCAAGUAAAUUCAUGAUAGGGAUGAUCAUUGAAAUGAUAAUUGUGAUGUUCUAACUUGACUGACUUUGAUGGCUUUGAAUUAGACUGUUUGAU
rnacentral:lncRNA from 1 species